ACAAUAAUCAGAACCGCGUUCCUCGAGUAAAAUCCGGAUGCGACCGGAUUCUGGAAGCGCGAAUCCUGGUCCGCACUUCCGGAGACCCGGGUCGAUUCAGCGUCGCGACGAUUCGGCCCAAUGCCACGAAAGCUCUUUGGAGCCAUGCGCGUUGGGGGGACGUGACGGUGACGGUGACGACGAUCGCUGUGUGUUAGCCUACAAUUAGAUACAGAGCUCGUUGCAGCGAUCGCGGCUCUCGCCGUCCUUACACAACGCAGGCUUUGCGUCGCGACGACGACGCUCUUCUUGUGCACCGGCGCUCCUCCACACCUACGAUACCUACACCUACACCUACACCUACACCAACACCUACACUUGCACACCGGUACCUACAUGGUGCUAAACCGCGCAGACUCGCGGAGGGAGUAGAGUGGUACCAGCUCGAAUCAGCUUGAAGGGCCCCAGCAGUGUGUGCCUUCCUUUCGGUUACUUUCUGUUCCUUCAUAACGAAAAACAGAAGCGCGAGGCCAACCCGACAGGCUCCAGAAUGAAGUACUCUCCGCAGCAGCAGCAGAAGGAGAGGAAAUCGGAAAGCGAUUUGGGAUCGGUGCAGGGAACGCCGGCCCGGGAAACUCUGAACUCAGCCCAGGUAUCCCAGCAGAAUCUUUCGAGCAGUUCCUCGUCGGGUUCCGGAGCAUCAUCUUCGGCGUCGUCGGGGGUCUUCGCCUGGACGAGGGUCUUCCGGCUGGCCUCGAUGCUGCCGCAGAUCGGCUGCUAGUCACGGCCUUGCUGAGGAUCGAAGCUGCAGCGCCUGCAGAGGACAUAGAGGAUACAUAGAUGAUAAGAGACGCAUGCGUUGCUAGAACGCGAAUCCUAGCAGCUAGCACGUAUCACUAUACAAUAUUCUUAUAGAGAGAAGUUCGCGGUUUCAUUCGUACACUUACCGCGGCUGAGGUGAUUUACGACUAGACUUUAUAAACCGUUACCAAACCCCUUGUUAUAUCGUAUAAGUUUCAGGUAUUCUAUAGAGUCAUCUUGUGCUAUUUGACACGUAGAACGAUCGUUUGCAGAUACAAUCUAAGGAACCGCUCGUACGGAUGAACAACAUUUACGGGUUCAUCCGAUCCGACGACUAGCUGGGAGUCUGGAAUUAGCGAUGCUGGGGUGAAAUCGUGGAUUAGCCUGCACUGAACAUAUCCGAAUAAUUGAUUAAUAAAGACACCCGAGCUAUUUUCUCCGCUUGUUUUUUUUUUUUUUUUUUUUUUUUCGUUUUCUUUUCAUUGUGUUUUUUUCUAUGUUUCGUCUUAUCGACUUGCAUCUUACAUCCCACGCGUUCGGUACGAUCAAAGGCUGUGUUAAUGCACUGUAAUGUAGAAUUAAUGAGGGCUUCUGCGCAAACAUAUCCGCACAUUCUUGCUGAUUUUAUCGCAACACGAAUGGAUCGAUCCGCAAACGAGCCACUCGGUUUGUUCGGAAUUAUCCACGUCGCAUUUAUAAUUUACAGUUCAAACUUCAACGACGCUUUUUACUAGUCAAUCACGAUUGCAUUUCGGACAAACGAUAAAUCAGAAGUUUUUUUUUGCCUCAUUUUUUGAGAGUUAUUAAACAAGUCGGAUCAACUUGUGGAAACAAAAGGUAUAAGAUAUGUGCGGAAUGAUGGUAGUUUUUGGGAGCGACGAUUCAGAUUCCCGAUGUCUUAAUUAGUUUUUAAUUAAUACGCAAUUUGUUUAUCAAAAUUGCUGUACCGAGAGAAAGAAACGUGGGAUUUGCUACAAUCAUCCUAAUGCGAUGUGCAAUUUAAACUUAAAUUCGAAUCACGGUAGAUAGACAGAUAAAGAAAAGACUUUUGAUUAAAAAUAAUUUAGCUCGAAUGCAUACACGCGAUAAUUUAAUGUGAAAUUUUUUUAUACACUGCUUAUGCGUAGAUUGAAGUAUUAUUUGAAGUCUACAAAUUAUAUUUGCGCAUAACUCUGCAAAUUACAUUUGGCUGAAAAAUAUAGAUAAGAAUAAAUUUCACCGCACGGGUCUUGCUAACGAUGAAAAUUAUUCAUCGAUUAAUGCCGUGAGCUUCCUUUUCCUAACAUGAAGUAUACGAUCCCGAAUUUCGCUGAAUAACCGUUAAACUUGGUUUUUGUUGUUUUACGACUCCCGGUCAAGUUCUCCAAAAUGCCAAUAAAAUCAUUGUAUCAACAAAUUGGCCAAGGGAUGAUGCCCAGUUUGUUCCACGUUAGACAAUAUUUAGUUGUUAGAAGAAAUAAGAAAAAAUAUUAAUGUUAUUUAAUUAUUGUUAUACUAUAUAUUAUAUUGUAUUAAAGAUUCUUAUAUCAGACUGCACGUACUCUUACUUUCACUAAAUAUGAACCACCAUGUACAUAUGUCUAACACGCAUGUGUACGUGUAUGUACGACGGUAUACGUAAAUAAGACACAUAGAAAAAUACGUAUACAUAUACACAUUAAUUUAAACGCUAUUAAGAUUUAAUAAUGUUAUAUCUCGUUAAUCAUCAUAUUCAUAUAUUUUACUAAUGUGUAAAAUCAAUCAAUAAACUAUUUACUUAUCA